rnacentral:rRNA from 1 species
GACGAACGCUGGCGGCGUGCUUAAUACAUGCAAGUCGAACGGGAUCACUGCUUUCGGGUGGUGGUUUAGUGGCGAACGGGUGAGUAACACGUGAGUAACCUGCCCUCAGCUUUGGGAUAAGCCUGGGAAACUGGGUCUAAUACCGGAUAUUCACGCCUUGUCGCAUGGUGGGGUGUGGAAAGGGUUUCUGGCUGGGGAUGGGCUCGCGGCCUAUCAGCUUGUUGGUGGGGUGAUGGCCACCAAGGCGGUGACGGGUAGCCGGCCUGAGAGGGCGACCGGCCACACUGGGACUGAGACACGGCCCAGACUCCUACGGGAGGCAGCAGUAGGGAAUAUUGCGCAAUGGGCGAAAGCCUGACGCAGCGACGCCGCGU